rnacentral:rRNA from 1 species
AACGGGUGGUAAUGCCGGAUGCUCCAGUUGGAUGCAUGUCCUUCUGGGAAAGAUUCUAUCGGUAUGGGAUGGGGUCGCGUCCUAUCAGCUUGAUGGCGGGGUAACGGCCCACCAUGGCUUCGACGGGUAGCCGGCCUGAGAGGGCGACCGGCCACAUUGGGACUGAGAUACGGCCCAGACUCCUACGGGAGGCAGCAGUGGGGAAUAUUGCACAAUGGGCGCAAGCCUGAUGCAGCGACGCCGCGUGCGGGAUGACGGCCUUCGGGUUGUAAACCGCUUUUGACUGGGAGCAAGCCCUUCGGGGUGAGUGUACCUUUCGAAUAAGCACCGGCUAACUACGUGCCAGCAGCCGCGGUAAUACGUAGGGUGCAAGCGUUAUCCGGAAUUAUUGGGCGUAAAGGGCUCGUAGGCGGUUCGUCGCGUCCGGUGUGAAAGUCCAUCGCUUAACGGUGGAUCCGCGCCGGGUACGGGCGGGCUUGAGUGCGGUAGGGGAGACUGGAAUUCCCGGUGUAACGGUGGAAUGUGUAGAUAUCGGGA